rnacentral:rRNA from 1 species
UACGUAGGGGGCAAGCGUUGUCCGGAUUUAUUGGGCGUAAAGAGCGUGUAGGCGGCCUGACAGGUCUGCUGUGAAAACUCGAGGCUCAACCUCGAGAUGUCGGCGGAAACCGUCUGGCUAGAGUCCGGAAGAGGAGAGUGGAAUUCCUGGUGUAGCGGUGAAAUGCGCAGAUAUCAGGAAGAACACCCGUGGCGAAGGCGGCUCUCUGGGACGGUAGCUGACGCUGAGACGCGAAACGUGGGGAGCGAACAGG